rnacentral:misc_RNA from 1 species
AAGUCGUAACAAGGUUUCCGUAGGUGAACCUGCGGAAGGAUCAUUACCACGUAUCCACGUAUCCACCAACUGUGCACUGGUUCUCACCCCUCUCCCUCACCGACCUACAUGAAUUGGAAGCGAAUGCAACACUUAUUUGAUGAAGGACAUCUUGAGAGAGAUGUCUUAAUGAGCAUUCCACUAUCUGUAGCGCGUUCGCGCGUCUACUCACAAUUGUAGUAGGAGCGAGGUCACCUAUUUCUGCUAGUCGCUCGUUUCAUCAUUUGGAGCCGCAUGCUAGUGGGAAGCAACACUCUACACCUCAAUCACCCCCUUUUUGCUAGUUGACUUUUCUAUGUUGUCAUGAAUCUUUUUUGACUCGUGAUACACGUUUCUUCAUUGAACGUUGAAUGUACAACUCUUAGCAAUGGAUAUCUUGGUUCUC